rnacentral:rRNA from 1 species
CCCUUAGAUGUUCUGGGCCGCACGCGCGCUACACUGAUGCAUUCAACGAGUUUCUUCCUGGUCCGAGAGGAAUGGGUAACCUUUUGAAAGUGCAUCGUGAUAGGGAUAGACUAUUGCAAUUAUUGGUCUUCAACGAGGAAUUCCUAGUAGACGUAGUUCAUCAGACUGCAUCGAUUACGUCCCUGCCCUUUGUACACACCGCCCGUCGCUCCUACCGAUUGAAUGCUCAGGUGAGCCAUUCGGACUUUCAUCAUGCUGGUUUCCAGUUUUGAUGAAGGAAAGUCUUGCGAACCUUAUCAUUUAGAGGAAGGAGAANUCGUAACA